GGGUGUUGUGGGGUGCCAUGGAGUGCUGUGGGGUGCUAUAAGAUGCUAUGGGGUGCCAUAGGGUGCUAUGGGGUGCUACGGGAUGCUGUGGGGUACUAUAAGGUGCUAUGGGGUGCCAUAGGGUGCUCUGGGGUGGUAUGGGAUGCUGUGGGUUGCUAUAAGGUGCUAUGGGGUGCUGUGGGGUGCUAUUGGGUACUAUGGGAUGCUGUGGGGUGCUAUAAGGUGCUAUGGGGUGCCAUAGGCUGCUGUGGGGUGCUAUUGGGUGAUAUAGGGUGUUGUGGGGUGCCAUGGGGUGCUGUGGGGUGCUAUGGGGUACCAUAGGGUGUUAUGGGGUGUUGCGUGGUGCUGUGGGGUGCUAUGGGGCACCAUAGGGUGUUUAUGGGGUGUUGUGGGGUGCCAUGGGGUGCUAUGGGGUGCUAUGCGGGUACCAUAGGGUGCUAUGGGGUGCUAUGGGGUGCUAUAAGAUGCUGUGGGGUGCUAUAAGGUGCUAUGGGGUACCAUUGGGUGUUAUGGGGUGCUGUGGGGUGAUAUAGGGUGUUAUGGGGUGCUAUGGGGUGUUGUGGGGUGCUGUGGGGUGCUAUGGGGUGAUAUAGGGUGUUGUGGGGUGUUGUAAGUUGAUGUGGGGUGCUAUGGGGUGAUAUAGGGUGUUGUGGGGUGCUAUAAGGUGCUAUGGGGUGCUAUAGGCUGCUGUGGGGUGCUAUGGGGUGAUAUAGGGUGUUGUGGGGUGCCAUGGGGUGCUAUGGGGUACCAUAGGGUGUUAUGGGGUGCUAUGGUGUGUUGCGGGGUGCUAUGGGGUGCUAUAAGGUGCUGUGGGGUGCUAUGGGGUGCUAUAGGGUGUUGUGGGGUGCUGUAAGGUGCUGUGGGAUGCUAUGAGGUGCUAUAAGGUGCUAUGGGGUACCAUAGGGUGCUAUGGGGUGCUAUGGGAUGCUAUGGGGUGCUAUAAGGUGCUAUGGGGUGUUGCGGGGCGCCAUGGGUUGCUGUGGGGUGCUAUUGGGUGAUAUUGGGUGUUGUGGGGUGCUGUGAGGUGAUGUGGGGUGCUAUGGGGUGCUGUGAGGUGCCGUAAGUUGCUGUGGGGUGCUAUAAGAUGCUAUGGGGUGCUGUGGGUUGCUAUGGGGUACCAUAGGGUGUUAUGGGGUGUUGAGGGUUGCCGUGGGGUGCUGUGGGGUGCUAUGGGGUGAUAUAGGGUGCUAUGGGGUGUUGCGGGGUGCCAUGGGGUGCCAUGGGGUGCUAUAAGGUGCUGUGGGGUGCUAUGGGGUGUUGUGGGGUGCUAUGGGGUGCUAUGGGGUGUUGUGGGGUGCUAUGGGGUGCUAUGGGGUGCCAUAGGGUGUUAUGGGGUGCUAUGGGGUGUUGUGGGGUGCCAUGGGGUGCUAUAAGGUGCUAUGGGGUGCCAUAGGGUGCUAUGGGAUGUUACGGGGGUGCCAUGGGGUGCUGUGGGGUGCCAUGGGGUGCUAUGGGGUGCCAUAGGGUGCUGUGGGGUGA